rnacentral:rRNA from 1 species
UUGGUUGAUCCUGCCAGUAGUGUAUGCUUCUCCUAAAGACUAAGCCAUGCAUGCCCUGAAUAAGAGGAAGCAAUUCUCUCUGAAUCUGCGAACGGCUCCGCAAACCAGUUGUAAACUAGAGCAAGCAAGCCUGGCUGGCUUCGGCCUCCAGGUGAUAUGGAUAACCCUGGUAAUUCUGAGGCUAAUACAUGACCGCAAAACCGGGCAGCCCAGCAAUGGAUGCUCGGGGAUGUGCGAUAUGGCUUGACAAUAACCGGGAAAGGACGCACACUCAGACCGCGCUAAAAAAGGAUCGGGACUCUCUUCGGAGAACCUGGCCCCCAGCGGCUCUUGCUGUGUGCUUCUGACCUAUCAACUAGACGGCAGCGUAAUGGACAUGCUAUGGUGACAACGGGUACAGAGGAUUAGGGUUCGAUCCUGGAGAGUGGGCCUGAGAGAUUGCUCAUACUUCUAAGGAAGGCAGCAGGCGCGCAACGUUCCCCUUGGGCAAUGCCCGAGGGCGUUAGGGGACAUAUGAAUGCCUGCCCAUUGGGUGGGCAAUUCAAAUGGGUCUGUUGUAAACAGGCUCUCGAGUAACAAUUAGAGGGACAAGUCA